UACGUAGAUGGCAAGCGUUGUCCGGAUUUACUGGGCGUAAAGGGAGCGUAGGCGGACUUUUAAGUGAGAUGUGAAAUACCCGGGCUCAACUUGGGUGCUGCAUUUCAAACUGGAAGUCUAGAGUGCAGGAGAGGAGAAUGGAAUUCCUAGUGUAGCGGUGAAAUGCGUAGAGAUUAGGAAGAACACCAGUGGCGAAGGCGAUUCUCUGGACUGUAACUGACGCUGAGGCUCGAAAGCGUGGGGAGCAAACAGGAUUAGAUACCCCGGUA
rnacentral:rRNA from 1 species